AAGUCGAGCGGCAGGGUGCAGCAAUGCGCCUGAGAGCGGCGGACUGGUGAGUAGCGCGUGGGUAACCUACCCUUGGGAUGGGGAUAGCCAUUAGAAAUAGUGGGUAAUACCGAAUACGGUUGCGAGGCAGGGGCUUUGCAACGAAAGGGGCUUCGGCUCCGCCCGGGGAUGGGCCCGCGUUCCAUUAGCUAGUUGGUGGGGUAAGGGCCUACCAAGGCGAUGAUGGGUAGCCGGCCUGAGAGGGUGAACGGCCACACUGGGACUGAGAUACGGCCCAGACUCCUACGGGAGGCAGCAGCUAAGAAUAUUCCGCAAUGCACGAAAGUCUGACGGAGCGACGCCGCGUGGAUGAAGAAGGCCGAAAGGUUGUAAAGUUCUUUUGUUGCUGAAGAAUAAGCGGGGGAGGGAAUGCCCUCGUGAUGACGUUAGGCGACGAAUAAGCCCCGGCUAAUUACGUGCCAGCAGCCGCGGUAACACGUAAGGGGCGAGCGUUGUUCGGAAUUAUUGGGCGUAAAGGGCGCGUAGGCGGUUAUGUAAGCCUGGCGUGAAAUGGUAGGGCUUAACCCUAUCACGGCGUUGGGGACUGUGUAACUUGAGUCAUGGAGGGGGAGUUGGAAUUCCGCGUGUAGGGGUGAAAUCUGUAGAUAUGCGGAAGAACACCGGUGGCGAAGGCGAAC
rnacentral:rRNA from 1 species